rnacentral:sRNA from 1 species
GCCGGGCACAGUGGCGCAUGCCUGUAAUCCCAGCAGCUCCGGAGGCUGAGGCUGGAGGAUCUUGCAUACAAAGUCAGCCUCAG